GGGUCGGUAGGUUGGUCGUGCCACCGGUACGUACUGGUCUCACUGAUUCCUCCUUCCUGAAGAACCGUAAUGCCGUUAAUUUGGUGUUGCGGGGAAACAGGACUGUUACUUUGAAAAAAUUAGAGUGUUUAAAGCAAGCUAACGCUUGAAUACAUUAGCAUGGAAUAAUGAAAUAGGACGAUCGAUCCUAUUUUGUUGGUUUCUAGGAUUGACGUA
rnacentral:rRNA from 1 species